rnacentral:lncRNA from 1 species
AUAACGUUGUCUUUUUAGCAAUUUUGCCAUGUAAAGAACUCAAAUUCAUAGUUACUAUUAACCUUUGUUGUGACGGUAAUAUCUUGUGUUAAUGUAAUACUUCUUGCAUUUUCAUGCACCCCAUUCAUUGAGUGCGUCCUAUUUCAUAGGUAUCGUGAACUUACAGUCCUAUGUAAGUCUAAUGAUGCUACAUCUUAUAAAUAAAGGAAUUAAGUUUAGAGAAAGAGGUGAUCAUCGGAGGUGGACGUGAUCUCUUCAGGUGUCAUAGACAAGAUGAACCAAAACUGGAUCUGGAAUUAUGGCCAAGAUUUGGAAAGGAACAGAAGAGGGCAUCCCGAUUUUGAAAAAACUACUAGAAUAAGAAACAGGAAGAAAUGUCACAUGGAAUCAUUAAAAUCAUAAAUUCUCCUAUCUUCUUGUGGAAAAAUUAUGCAGACUCUGACUGAAAAAUAAUGUGGUGACUAAAGCAGAAGAUUAGUGAGAACAUCAUUGCCUUUGAUUGUCCUUCAAUAUCACCUGUGGUUCUAAGGAAGUGGCAGAUCUGAAGAGCUGAAAUGUAAUGUAAUAUGCUGACUCGUUUGCCUGAUGGAUGUGUGACUGCCCUCUGUUGGAUGAAAUUAGAUCUGCUCUUAUAUGUUAGACUGUCUUGCCCUCUAGUGGUUUGUGCAGAAGAUAGUAAUGAAGACAUUGGAGAAUACUGCAUGAAGAAUCAGGAAAAAACCCCCAGAUACUCUCAGAAAGAAGUGAAAGGAGAACUUGAAGAAACAAGUUUGCAGGCAGUUUUUACCUCUCGGUAUUCUAGCACUACACGCUCAAGAAGACCUAGGACCAGAUUCUUCCAAACAUCAUGUGUCCAGUUCUGAGACUAGUGUUUGGAGCUGAAUAGAAGUCGGUGAAUUUAAAUUGAAUUUGAUUGGUGUAAUGGACCGAAUGCUUAUGUCUUCCUCAAAAUCCAAAUGUUAAAAUCCUAAACCCCAAUAUGAUGGUAUUACGAGAUGGGGGCCUUUGGGAGGUGGUUAACUGAUAGGGUGCAUCCUUAUAAAGAAUCCCAGAGAGCUCUACCCCUCCUUCCUCCAUGUGAGGACACAGCAAGAUAGCCAUCUAUGAUCCAGGAAGUAGACUCUCCCAGACACCGAAUCUCCUGGCUCCUUGAUCUUGGACUUCCCAGCCUCCAGAACUGGGAGAAAUAAAUGUUUGUUGUUUAAGCCA